rnacentral:rRNA from 1 species
UACGUAGGGUGCAAGCGUUGUCCGGAAUUAUUGGGCGUAAAGAGCUCGUAGGCGGUCUGUCGCGUCGGCUGUGAAAACCCGGGGCUCAACCCCGGGCCUGCAGUCGAUACGGGCAGACUAGAGUGCGGUAGGGGAGACUGGAAUUCCUGGUGUAGCGGUGGAAUGCGCAGAUAUCAGGAGGAACACCGAUGGCGAAGGCAGAUCUCUGGGCCGUUACUGACGCUGAGGAGCGAAAGCGUGGGGAGCGAACAGG